AUUGAACGCUGGCGGCAGGCCUAACACAUGCAAGUCGAACGGUAACACGAUACAGCUUUCUGCUUCGCUGUCGCGUGUCGCGCGCGUGUGUGAUGUCUAUGAGGCUCCCUUAUUUAGUGGGGUAUCUCCUGGAAACGGUUGCUCAUACCGCAUAAUCUCGCUACACCAAAAAGCAGGACCUUCUGGCCUCUUGCCAUCUUAUAUGCCCAGAUGGGAUUAUCUUGUUGGUGGGGUAACAGCUCACCAAGGCGACGAUCCCUAGCUGGUCUGAGAGGAUGACCAGACACACUGGAAAUGAGACACGGUACAGACGCCUACGGGAGGCAGCAGUGGGGAAUAUUGCACAAUGGGCGCAAGCCUGAUGCAGCCAUGCCGCGUGUAUGAAGAAGGCCUUCGGGUUGUAAAGUACUUUCAGCGGGGAGGAAGGGAGUAAAGUUAAUACCUUGGCUCAUUGACGUUACCCGCAGAAGAAGCACCGGCUAACUCCGUG
rnacentral:rRNA from 1 species